rnacentral:antisense_RNA from 1 species
GCUUUCUCCCAGGUUGUGACUGGGUGAUAAGCGAAGGUCAUUCGGUUGCCGCCGAGUGGCCUUCUUUCAUUUUCAGU